rnacentral:rRNA from 1 species
UACAGAGGGGGCAAGCGUUAUUCGGAAUUAUUGGGCGUAAAGGGCGCGUAGGCGGCUUUGCAAGUGACGGGUGAAAUCCCUCGGCUUAACCGAGGAACUGCCUGUCAGACUGUGAGGCUUGAGACCGGGAGAGGUGAGUGGAAUUCCCAGUGUAGCGGUGAAAUGCGUAGAUAUUGGGAGGAACACCAGUGGCGAAGGCGGCUCACUGGACCGGAACUGACGCUGAGGCGCGAAAGCGUGGGGAGCAAACGGG